rnacentral:rRNA from 1 species
UACGGGGGGGGCAAGCGUUGUUCGGAAUUACUGGGCGUAAAGGGCUCGUAGGCGGCCAACUAAGUCAGACGUGAAAUCCCUCGGCUUAACCGAGGAACUGCCUGUCAGACUGGAUGGCUUGAGACCGGGAGAGGUGAGUGGAAUUCCCAGUGUAGCGGUGAAAUGCGUAGAUAUUGGGAGGAACACCAGUGGCGAAGGCGGCUCACUGGACCGGAACUGACGCUGAGGCGCGAAAGCGUGGGGAGCAAACAGG